rnacentral:misc_RNA from 1 species
AAGAGCUCGAACUAUCUGCAUGGCUAGCUAUAUGUGAAUGUAACUAUCUCUAUUUUCUUUUUAUUUUUUUAAUAUUUAAUUUAGGUCUAAUGGUAUUUCUUCACAUUUUGCAUCUUUCAAAAGUAGAGAAAGACUAAUCAAACUAUCCUCUUACAUAAUUUUUUUGGAUACUUUAAUAGAUAAUUAAAAGUGAAAAUGAAUAAAAUAUGCCAAUAAGUAAUGCAAUUGAAUUUUGACCUGAUUCAUUUUUGGACGAGAGCUUGAAGGUUUAUAUACACAAGCCAUAGCACAAGAAAUCAUUGUUUUCAUUUCUUUUUCGUUGUAGUUCAUUUGCAAUAAUUUGGAAUCAACAAGAUUUGUUUAGUCUCCACUGCGCAAAGCAUACUCAAUUUGAGGUUAUGCCUGAAAUCGAUAAAUACAAGUAGUUAUUUUUUCACCAAGGUUUAAUUUUCUACCAUCAUUUUCCCCUUUAUUUUGAUAGUACAAUAGAAAAGAAGAAUUUGAUUUGAGAGAUUUGAAAGAAUCCAUAAAUUUCAAAAGAUAUUAGCUAUUAUAGACGUGUAUCAUACCCAAACAACAAUAUCAGUGCCUUCGAAUGUAGUUUUUCUCCCAGAUAUUAGCU